GUGCUCCCUUCAGCAGCACAUAUACUAAAAUUGGAACUAUACAGAGAUUAGCAUGGCCCCUGCACAAGGAUGACACGUAAAUUUGUGAAGCAUUCCAAAAAAAA